rnacentral:rRNA from 1 species
AGGAUGUGGAAUUGCACAGACAACCAGGAUGUUGGCUUAGAAGCAGCCACUCAUUAAAAGAGUGCGUAAUAGCUCACUGGUCGAGUGACUCUGCGCCGAAAAUUUAACGGGGCUAAACUAUACACCGAAGCUUGGGAUACAUCUAAUGUAUGGUAGGAGAGCGUUCUGUAUGGGGAGAAGUCGUAGCGAAAGCGGCGGUGGACUAUACAGAAGUGAGAAUGCCGGAAUAAGUAGCGAGAAUUAAGUGAGAAUCUUAAUGGCCGAAAGUCUAAGGUUUUUGGAGGAAGGUUCGUCCGCUCCAAGUAAGUCGGGAGCUAAGGUCAGGCCGAAAGGCGUAGCCGAUGCACAUACGGUUGAUAUUCCGUAACCAUCUGUAAUUUAAGCAAAGGGACACUUCAAAAGGGUGUGACCCGGGCGUUGGUUGACCCGGGCGUAAGGGACCGAAAUUAGAGUAGGGAAGCACACUUAGCUGAAGGCGAGAAAAGCUUUGCGUAUAGAAACAGAUGCCCGUACCGCAAACCGACACAGGUGGACAGGAAGAGAAUUCUAAGGCCAGCGGGAGAAGGGUAGUUAAGGAACUCGGCAAAUUGACUCCGUAACUUCGGAAUAAGGAGUGCUCGAAAGAGCCGCAGAGAAUAGGCCCAGGCGACUGUUUAGCAAAAACACAGGUCUCUGCCAAAUCGAAAGAUGAAGUAUAGGGGCUGACACCUGCCCGGUGCCGGAAGGUUAAGAGGAGGAGUGAGAGCUCCGAAUUGAAGCCCCGGUAAACGGCGGCCGUAACUAUAACGGUCCUAAGGUAGCGAAAUUCCUUGUCGGGUAAGUUCCGACCCGCACGAAUGGUGUAACGAUCUGGACGCUGUCUCAACUGCCCACCCGGCGAAAUUGUAGUACCGGUGAAGAUGCCGGUUACCCGCGGCAAGACGGAAAGACCCCAUGGAGCUUUACUGUAACUUGAUAUUGGGUCUUGGUAUUCUAUGUACAGGAUAGGCGGGAGACUAUGAAACAUACACGCCAGUGUAUGCGGAGUCACCCUUGGGAUACCGCUCUUAGAGUACUGAGAUUCUAACCUGCGGCCGUGAAUCCGGUCGGGGGACAUUGUCAGGUGGGCAGUUUGACUGGGGCGGUCGCCUCCGAAAAGGUAACGGAGGCGCUCAAAGGUUAGCUCAGCACGGACGGAAACCGUGCCUCUGAGUGUAAACGCAAAAGCUAGCCUAACUGCGAGGGUGACGGCCCGAGCAGUAACGAAAGUUGGAGUUAGUGAUCCGGCGGUAUGUGAAUGGAAAUGCCGUCGCUCAACGGAUAAAAGCUACCCUGGGGAUAACAGGCUGAUCUCCCCCAAGAGUCCACAUCGACGGGGAGGUUUGGCACCUCGAUGUCGGCUCAUCACAUCCUGGGGCUGUAUUCGGUCCCAAGGGUUCGGCUGUUCGCCGAUUAAAGUGGUACGCGAGCUGGGUUCAGAACGUCGCGAGACAGUUCGGUCCCUAUCUGUCGUGGGCGCAGGAUAUUUGAGGAGCUCUGUCCUUAGUACGAGAGGACCGGGAUGGACGUACCUCUGGUGCACCAGUUGUCAUGCCAAUGGCACGGCUGGGCAGCUAUGUACGGAACGGAUAAACGCUGAAAGCAUCUAAGCGUGAAGCCGACUCCAAGAUUAGAUAUCCCAUCGUAUAACGAGUAAGACCCCUUGAAGACUACGAGGUUGAUAGGCUGCGUGUGUAAGUGCCGUGAGGCAUUCAGCUUGGCAGUACUAAUAGGUCGAGGGCUUGACCAC